rnacentral:rRNA from 1 species
AUAAUGGGUCAGCGACUUAUAUUCUGUAGCAAGGUUAACCGAAUAGGGGAGCCGAAGGGAAACCGAGUCUUAACUGGGCGUUAAGUUGCAGGGUAUAGACCCGAAACCCGGUGAUCUAGCCAUGGGCAGGUUGAAGGUUGGGUAACACUAACUGGAGGACCGAACCGACUAAUGUUGAAAAAUUAGCGGAUGACUUGUGGCUGGGGGUGAAAGGCCAAUCAAACCGGGAGAUAGCUGGUUCUCCCCGAAAGCUAUUUAGGUAGCGCCUCGUGAAUUCAUCUCCGGGGGUAGAGCACUGUUUCGGCAAGGGGGUCAUCCCGACUUACCAACCCGAUGCAAACUGCGAAUACCGGAGAAUGUUAUCACGGGAGACACACGGCGGGUGCUAACGUCCGUCGUGAAGAGGGAAACAACCCAGACCGCCAGCUAAGGUCCCAAAGUCAUGGUUAAGUGGGAAACGAUGUGGGAAGGCCCAGACAGCCAGGAUGUUGGCUUAGAAGCAGCCAUCAUUUAAAGAAAGCGUAAUAGCUCACUGGUCGAGUCGGCCUGCGCGGAAGAUGUAACGGGGCUAAACCAUGCACCGAAGCUGCGGCAGCGACGCUGAUGCGUUGUUGGGUAGGGGAGCGUUCUGUAAGCCUGCGAAGGUGUGCUGUGAGGCAUGCUGGAGGUAUCAGAAGUGCGAAUGCUGACAUAAGUAACGAUAAAGCGGGUGAAAAGCCCGCUCGCCGGAAGACCAAGGGUUCCUGUCCAACGUUAAUCGGGGCAGGGUGAGUCGACCCCUAAGGCGAGGCCGAAAGGCGUAGUCGAUGGGAAACAGGUUAAUAUUCCUGUACUUGGUGUUACUGCGAAGGGGGGACGGAGAAGGCUAUGUUGGCCGGGCGACGGUUGUCCCGGUUUAAGCGUGUAGGCUGGUUUUCCAGGCAAAUCCGGAAAACUAAGGCUGAGGCGUGAUGACGAGGCACUACGGUGCUGAAGCAACAAAUGCCCUGCUUCCAGGAAAAGCCUCUAAGCAUCAGGUAACAUCAAAUCGUACCCCAAACCGACACAGGUGGUCAGGUAGAGAAUACCAAGGCGCUUGAGAGAACUCGGGUGAAGGAACUAGGCAAAAUGGUGCCGUAACUUCGGGAGAAGGCACGCUGAUAUGUAGGUGAAGCGACUUGCUCGUGGAGCUGAAAUCAGUCGAAGAUACCAGCUGGCUGCAACUGUUUAUUAAAAACACAGCACUGUGCAAACACGAAAGUGGACGUAUACGGUGUGACGCCUGCCCGGUGCCGGAAGGUUAAUUGAUGGGGU